AUUGAACGCUGGCGGCAUGCCUAACACAUGCAAGUCGAACGGCAGCGCGGAGAGCUUGCUCUCUGGCGGCGAGUGGCGGACGGGUGAGUAAUGCAUAGGAAUCUGCCCAGUAGCGGGGGACAACCUGGGGAAACUCAGGCUAAUACCGCAUACGCCCUACGGGGGAAAGCGGGGGACCUUCGGGCCUCGCACUAUUGGAUGAGCCUAUGUCAGAUUAGCUUGUUGGUGGGGUAACGGCCUACCAAGGCGACGAUCUGUAGCUGGUCUGAGAGGACGAUCAGCCACACUGGGACUGAGACACGGCCCAGACUCCUACGGGAGGCAGCAGUGGGGAAUAUUGCACAAUGGGCGAAAGCCUGAUGCAGCAAUGCCGCGUGUGUGAAGAAGGC
rnacentral:rRNA from 1 species